rnacentral:rRNA from 1 species
UACGGAGGGUGCGAGCGUUGUCCGGAAUCACUGGGCGUAAAGGGCGCGUAGGCGGCGCGGGAAGUCCGUGGUGAAAGCCCGAGGCUCAACUUCGGGUCGGCCAUGGAUACUCCUGGGCUCGAGCACUGUAGAGGCAGGUGGAAUUCCGGGUGUAGCGGUGGAAUGCGUAGAGAUCCGGAAGAACACCGGUGGCGAAGGCGGCCUGCUGGGCAGUGACCGUAAGGUCUUAAAAGCUGACGCUGAGGCGCGACAGCGUGGGGAGCAAACAGG